GGGAGCAGCACAGUUGAACCCAUUUGCAAGUCCGCAACAAAGAUGUAGUUAAGGAUAUUUGGGAUGACAAAGUAAUUGCAGAAAAUGCUUUAAGUCAGAUCCCUUGUCCUUGGGUUUGAUUCUCUAUCAAGACUCAUUUGAAGUAGUCAAUCCAUUGGGUUCAGGAAAGAAAAAGCAUAAAGUGCUGGCAGUCUAUCUCACUUUAGGAGACAUUUUGCCUCACAAUCGAUCAACCACUGACUAUAUGCAAUUUGUUCUCCUUUGCAGAGAACAAGAUUUUCGGUACUUUGGACAAGACUCUGUGAUGGGACUGAAGGAUCUCAAAGACCUUGAGAUUCUGUGAAAUUGACAGACCCACAUUUGCGACUGACCCACUUGCCAAGGGACCCAACAGGACUGUGCAGUCAUAUAAAGCUGCAACAGAUGGUAGAGUUAAUUUGAGCACCUGCCAUUUCUUCUGGACAGAUCGCCUACUUAAAGAAUGAUGUCCACAACUUUGGGGGAGGAAGUACAGAAGGUCAUUUGCACAGCACUGCUUGGUCUUCUUGGAGUAAAGAUGGAGCAGUUGCUGCAGAGACUUCUUGGCUGGGGUGUGGAAAGCACCACCAAAGAAGAAGAAGUUGGACCCCUUGUGAUUAAACUCCUCCUAGCACAUUUCCGAGAGGAUCCAGAUGUACUUCUGCUCCUUGCAGAUAGGUGUGCCUCAGCAGCAGAUCUUCAAGCAACACACACCAUACCUGGGACCCUGUGACUCAUCGUGCUUGGAGACACCUUGACUACUGGGCACUGGAUGCUGAGCAUUGAAGGCGAGGUUGUGUGUGAGGGCACUCAGCCCACCUUCCUGUCUGGCCUUGCCACACUAUUUGCAGUGUACUACAUAUUCAACCUUGAGUACCGAGGUGGCGUGUACAUUGGAGUUUAUUCAAAGCCACUCCUUGGACCCUCUGACAGAUCAGGAUCUGGACCUGAAGCAUUUUUCAUUUUCUUGUUCAGAAGUUUAGCAGUUCAGUUAGUUUAGCUCACUUGGGGCCUUGUUGUUUGGCCAUGUUGGCCUGUUCAUGAAGUGUUGAAAUAUUGUGUCUUUGUGAUAUUUGAAACUGUUUUAUGAUGACCAUGUUGAUCAACUUAUGUUUAUAUUUCUGUAUUGUUUGAAGGGCCAUGUUGGCAAAUAUGGGAAGUUGUAAAGUGAAUAAAAAAAUAUUUCAUGUACAA